rnacentral:rRNA from 1 species
GACGAACGCUGGCGGCGUGCUUAACACAUGCAAGUCGAACGGAAAGUCCCUGCUUUUGUGGGGUGCUCGAGUGGCGAACUGGUGAGUAACACGUGAGUAACCUGCCCUUGACUUUGGGAUAACUUCAUGAAACUUGUGCUCAUACCGGAUAGGAGCUCCUGCUGCAUGGUGGGGGUUGGUAAGUUUCGGCGGUUGGGGAUGUACUCGCGGCUUAUCAGCUUGUUGGUGGGGUAGUGGAUUACCAAGGCUUUGACGGGUAGCCGGCCUGAGAGGGUGACCGGACACAUUAGGACUGAGAUACGGCCCAGACUCCUACGGGAGGCAGCAGUGGGGAAGAUUGCACAAUGGGAGGAAGGAAGAUGCAGCAACGCCGCGUGCGGGAUGACAGCUUUCGGGUUGUAAACCGCUAUCGCCUGUGACGAAGCGUGAGUGACGGUAAUGGGUAAAGAAGCACCGGCUAACUACGUG